GCCUCUGGCGUGCCCGAGGGGCCCUGGCCAGCCCUGCACGCACGGCCCCGGCACACGCACGGGCGCCCUGAGCACGCGUCGGCCUCCUAUGAUCACCGACACUCGCGGUCCAGGACGCCGCAUGCGCAGAACCGGGAGGACGCAAACAUGCCGGGGACAUGGGCUUGUCCAGAGCAGCGGAGCGCUGAGCCCCGGGGACACAGCUGCUCUGGGGACGCGGCUGCUCCCGUCCACCGCUCACCCGCCGCCAAGGUGCGGAAAUGGGUCCCAGGUGUGUGCUCACUGCACCCACGUGCCUGCUGGUGCAGGAACCACCAGGCGUCCCACCCCGGAAAUGCCGCCACACAGGAGGAGCAACAACAGGCUCACGAUGACCCGCGGCCACGCCGUUCACACCGUGGGAGGUAAGCACACCCGGGUCGGGCAUAUCCAGACCGUAGGUAGACGGAGACUGGUAGUGACACCACCCGCCUUCCCGCCCCGGCCUCGCCACUCCAAAACGCUCCUGUGCGGCGUCCACACCAGGCAAGGGAAGCCUGUGUCACAGCACCCUGCAGAGUGCUGCUGGGUCUACAGAGAGGGCCUCCUGGGGUCCACACCACAGGAGAGGGCCUGUCAGGGUCCACACCACAGGAGAGGGCCUCUCGGGGUCUACACCACAGGACAUGGCCUCUCAGGGUCUACACCACAGGAGAGGGCCUGUCAGGGUCCACACCACAGGAGAGGGCCUCUCGGGGUCUACACCACAGGACAUGGCCUCUCAGGGUCUACACCACAGGAGAGGGCCUCUCAGGGUCCACACCACAGGAGAGGGCCUCUCAGGGUCUACACCACAGGAGAGGGCCUCUCGGGGUCUACACCACAGGAGAGGGCCUCUCAGGGUCUACACCACAGGAGAGGGCCUCUCAGGGUCCACACCACAGGACAUGACCUCUCAGGAUCUACACCACAGGACAUGGCCUCUCGGGGUCCACACCACAGGACAUGGCCUCCCAGGGUCUACACCACAGGACAUGGCCUCUCAGGGCCUACACCACAGGAGAGGGCCUCUCGGGGUCCACAACACAGGAGGUGGCCGUGCUCGGGCUGGAGCCAGUGGCCCUGCUGCUGCCCACGUCUCCGAGGGCCGUGCUGACCCGGGCUGCAGGCCUGGGGGGCUGUGCCCGAGGUCGGCCACCCCCGUGGUGCGGGGCCUCCUCUCCGUGGGUCCCGUGGCCGAGGGGGCGCCGGGCCCA
rnacentral:lncRNA from 1 species